rnacentral:sRNA from 3 species
AUGUACCGCUCGUACACUCCGGUUCCUGCGCGCCGCGCGCACCCGCCUGACAACCGCUCGCUACGUUUUGUUAGCC